rnacentral:rRNA from 1 species
ACUGCUCAGUAACACGUGGAUAACCUGCCCAAGGGUCCGGGAUAACCCCGGGAAACUGGGGAUAAUACCGGAUGGAUCACUAGUGCUGGAAUGCUUGGUGGUCGAAAGGUGACGCCCUUGGAUGGGUCUGCGGCGGAUUAGGUUGACGCCGGUGUAACGUACCGGCGUGCCUGUAAUCCGUAUGGGUUGUGGGAGCAAGAGCCCGGAGAUGGAUUCUGAGACACGAAUCCAGGCCCUACGGGGCGCAGCAGGCGCGAAAACUCUACAAUGCAGGCAACUACGAUAGGGGGACAUCGAGUGGCAUCCACCUUGGGUGCCUGUCCAAUCGUCUAAAAAACGGUUGUUAGCAAGGGCCGGGUAAGACCGGUGCCAGCCGCCGCGGUAAUACCGGCGGCUCGAGUGGUGGCCGAUAUUAUUGAGUCUAAAGGGUCCGUAGCCGGCUUUGCAAGUCCCCUGGGAAAUCCAGCGGCUUAACCGUUGGGCUUUCAUGGGAUACUACAUUGCUUGGGACUGGGAGAGGUAGGAGGUACUCGGGGGGUAGGGGUGAAAUCCUGUAAUCCUCCGGGGACCACCGGUGGCGAAGGCGUCCUACCAGAACAGGUCCGACGGUGAGGGACGAAAGCUAGGGGCACGAACCGGAUUAGAUACCCGGGUAGUCCUAGCCGUAAACGAUGCCCGCUAGGUGUCACGACGGUCGUGAAUCGUCGUGGUGCCGUAGGGAAGCCGCGAAGCGGGCCACUUGGGAAGUACGACCGCAAGGUUGAAACUUAAAGGAAUUGGCGGGGGAGCAC